GCCCAGAUGGCGGAAAUGGUAGACGCACAGGACUUAAAAUCCUGCGAUGGAAACAUCGUGCCGGUUCGAUUCCGGCUCUGGGCA
rnacentral:tRNA from 1 species